UACAGAGGUCCCAAGCGUUGUUCGGAUUCACUGGGCGUAAAGGGUGCGUAGGCGGUCGGGUAAGUCUGAUGUGAAAUCUCACAGCUUAACUGUGAAACUGCAUUGGAUACUAUUCGGCUUGAGAGUUGGAGGGGGGACUGGAAUUCUUGGUGUAGCAGUGAAAUGCGUAGAUAUCAAGAGGAACACCAGUGGCGAAGGCGAGUCCCUGGACAACUUCUGACGCUGAGGCACGGAAGCUAGGGGAGCAAACAGG
rnacentral:rRNA from 1 species